UAAGGCUCUGGGAAGGGGCCAGUGUCUGGAAGUUACCUUACAGAUAGAGAGCACACACAGACAGUUUAUAAGUAUAUUUAGAAUGUACCACGUACGUUUGAUGUGUGGGUUGCGUAGCUUUUCGCAAUAUAAAUCACAGUUGCUUUCCAAUUAUGUUUGUGCACAGGUAAGUCAGAAUGUAUGGAAUCGCACUACCUCUGCAGCGUUCAAGCGCAUGUUCGUUACCGUUUCAAGGAAUGCACAUCAACGCCUGCUUCUGACCGAAGGCCUACAAAGGUCGAUUACAAGUACAGAAAGAAAUAAGAUAUCACAACAAAACACAGUGAGGUAUGCAUCUGCCGCAAGACCUUCUGAAGAUGGACGACUUGUCUACUCAGGGGAAAUCUCCAAGUCUGUCCUUGGUGUGAAGUUUUUUUCCUACUCCUGCAGCAUGUUCAGUAUCUGUGUCAUGCCAUAUGUGUUGAUGAAGACCGGCCUUGGUGUUCAGAGUUUGCCCUUACAGGUGGCAUUCUGUGGAGUCGUCGGUUUUUUCACCUUCAUCACCCCUGUUCUCCUUCACUUGGUCACAAAAGGCUACGUUGUGCGCCUGUAUCACAAUGAGGGAACAGAUUUGUAUACAGCCGUCACAUACAAUGUUCUACUAGCAGAGAAAAAGACUGUGUUUCAUCAGAGUGACGUAAAGGUACCGGAAAUCAGCAAGAUGUUCACCACUUUCUAUGCAAAGAACCACUCCAUGCUCGUGAACCCUGAUUCCUUCACUUUGCCUCAUGAUUACAACCACCUAAUGGGCUAUGACCAACCUUUCACAUUUGAAGUGGAUGACCACAAACCAGAUAAAAAAUAGACCAAAUGUUCAAAACUACAACAUGUGUCCCCUUCAGGAUGUAGUCAUACAUUAAAGUUGAAGUUGAAUACAUUGUUUUAAUAUGGGUAAUUCAUGACUAAAAGAAGGACUGUAUAGUCAAGGCUGAAGAACUUUACUUUUCUGCACUUUAACAGUGUACCUUUUGCAUUUGGCACAGCCUUCAUUAAAAGAAUCAAUGGCCUCUCUUUUCUCCACCAGUCAAAUAUUGGUGCUUAAAGACUUGGACUAGGUUUUUAACUAAAGGACAAUUCAAACUACACCUGUUUCUGCUGUUGCUGACAGACAAGUAACUAAGGUAUGACAGAAAAAGGAGGAUGUACCCAGUCCAUUUCCAGGAACCACAAAAUUGGUAUCUUACAUCUAUUAAAGUUAAAUACCAUAGCUGCAAUAUUGUUUUGAGGAUGCUUUCACUGCUUUGAAUCACAUUUUUGUAAAGAGUUGGCUAUGAAGUUAUCUUAUGCUGUAGCCUACGUGUUUGACUUCUGGGAUGCAUGGAAUAAAAUUGUUUAUUAGGUUGUUGUUAACAUGGUUUAGUUGUUGAAUAUCUACAUGAGGUUUGCAUGUCAUGAAAAAGGAAAAAAAAAACAUGUUUAAUAGAGGAAGUGACCCUCUGACUUCCUCUCUGAAAAAUACCCACACUUCCCUUUUGGCACAAAUGUCAUAUGUAACAAUAGGUCUUUUCAGACAUAUGGAGGAUGUUUGGAAUCCAAAACACUGCACAAGUUAAGUCAUAAUUUGUUCACACUAUGUGCACUAUGUUACGAAAGGUGGCCAUCUUGGUCUCAUGUAUCGCUUAUGUUUUUGGAAAGAAGUUGUUAUGCUCUUCAGACUCUGUCACAAUCUGGUAUACCUAUGAGGGAGAGUUCAUGGAUGCUUUUUUGAGUGUAUCACCGUGUUUAUUAGGACAGAAUGAAUAUCAUGUGACAUUAUCAGGAAUCUUAAUGAGUCCUGUGAGUUCUAUUGGAGCGACUGUGUCUGUGUGGUCUAAAGGUGUAAAGUGGUUUGAGGUCCAUCACAGGACAGAGCCCUGUGAAUACUUCAAAAUAUGCCAGCUCAUCAAAGGGGAGUCUUUCCGUGACACAAUUCCUUUAUACACCAAAUCAUUCCAUCAACAACUAACUCCAGGGACCUACUUGGUUUUUGUGAAGUUGUUUCGUCCAGAAACUUUUCUCCAGUUGAAUAUCACAAUGGACAUAAAAGAAAAAUAGUCUACAGCCCUUGUGCCAUCUCUAUUGAAUUUCCCCUUGGGGAUCCAUAAAGUAUCUAUCUAUCUAUCUAUCUAUCUAUCUAUUCACCAUCUAUCUAUUCACCAUCUAUCUAUUCACCAUCAUCCAUCACUAAAAAGAGAAAUGGAGUAAUUAGCACAGCAUUUAAAAUCCACACCUAGGCUAUCCUUUUUAAUGUUAAUUUUUGAAUCAGUCACUGUGACAAGAUUGAAGAACAAUAUGAGUUAUAAGCAAUUCUCCAGAUAAAGAGACCUCUUGCUGAGUUCUGUCUUUGUAUGUUAGAUAAUAGCCAUAUUUAUUUGAUCUGAUUUAUUUUCCUUCACAAAUAAUUGAAGUUUUCCUCGAUUGUUUUGAUCUGCUUAAAGAAACUGGUAUCCACUUGA